GCGGCGUGCUAUAACGCAAGUUNAACGAAUGGAUUGAGAGCUUGCUCUCAAGAAGUUAGCGGCGGACGGGUGAGUAACACGUGGGUAACCUGCCCAUAAGACUGGGAUAACUCCGGGAAACCGGGGCUAAUACCGGAUAACAUUUUGAACUGCAUGGUUCGAAAUUGAAAGGCGGCUUCGGCUGUCACUUAUGGAUGGACCCGCGUCGCAUUAGCUAGUUGGUGAGGUAACGGCUCACCAAGGCAACGAUGCGUAGCCGACCUGAGAGGGUGAUCGGCCACACUGGGACUGAGACACGGCCCAGACUCCUACGGGAGGCAGCAGUAGGGAAUCUUCCGCAAUGGACGAAAGUCUGACGGAGCAACGCCGCGUGAGUGAUGAAGGCUUUCGGGUCGUAAAACUCUGUUGUUAGGGAAGAACAAGUGCUAGUUGAAUAAGCUGGCACCUUGACGGUACCUAACCAGAAAGCCACGGCUAACUACGUGCCAGCAGCCGCGGUAAUACGUAGGUGGCAAGCGUUAUCCGGAAUUAUUGGGCGUAAAGCGCGCGCAGGUGGUUUCUUAAGUCUCGAUGUGAAAGCCCACGGCUCAACCGUUGGAGGGUCAUUGGAAACUGGGGAGACUUGAGUGCAGAAGCAG
rnacentral:rRNA from 1 species